rnacentral:rRNA from 1 species
UACGUAGGGGGCAAGCGUUGUCCGGAUUUAUUGGGCGUAAAGCGCACGCAGGCGGUCUCUUAAGUUUUGCGUGACAGGUGGUGGCUCAACUACCACAGGCCUUGGAAAACUGGGAGACUUGAGGACUUCAGAGGGAUGCGGAAUUCCAGGUGGAGCGGUGAAAUGCGUAGAGAUCUGGAAGAACACCAAAGGCGAAGGCAGCAUUCUGGGAAGUAACUGACGCUCAUGUGCGAAAGCUAGGGGAGCGAGCGGG